GGCGGCGUGCCUAAUACAUGCAAGUCGAGCGGAAGAAGGGAGCUUGUCCCGGAUGUUAGCGGCGGACGGGUGAGUAACACGUGGGUAACCUGCCUGUAAGACUGGGAUAACUCCGGGAAACCGGAGCUAAUACCGGAUAGUUCCUUGAACCGCAUGGUUCAAGGAUGAAAGACGGUUUCGGCUGUCACUUACAGAUGGACCCGCGGCGCAUUAGCUAGUUGGUGAGGUAACGGCUCACCAAGGCGACGAUGCGUAGCCGACCUGAGAGGGUGAUCGGCCACACUGGGACUGAGACACGGCCCAGACUCCUACGGGAGGCAGCAGUAGGGAAUCUUCCGCAAUGGACGAAAGUCUGACGGAGCAACGCCGCGUGAGUGAUGAAGGUUUUCGGAUCGUAAAGCUCUGUUGUUAGGGAAGAACAAGUGCAAGAGUAACUGCUUGCACCUUGACGGUACCUAACCAGAAAGCCACGGCUAACUACGUGCCAGCAG
rnacentral:rRNA from 1 species